rnacentral:rRNA from 1 species
GGACCCGCACAAGUAGUGGAGCAUGUGGUUUAAUUCGAAGAUACGCGCAGAACCUUACCAGGGCUUAAAUGGGAGAUGACAGGGGCAGAGACGCCCUUUUCUUCGGACAUCUUUCAAGGUGCUGCAUGGUUGUCGUCAGCUCGUGCCGUGAGGUGUCAGGUUAAGUCCUAUAACGAGCGCAACCCCUACCGUUAGUUGCCAGCGAUUCAAGUCGGGGACUCUAACGGGACUGCCGGUGCAAACCGUGAGGAAGGUGGGGACGACGUCAAAUCAUCACGGCCCUUACGUCCUGGGCUACACACGUGCUACAAUGGUCGGUACAGAGGGAAGCUACCCCGUAAGGGGAUGCGGAUCUAUAAAACCGAUCUCAGUUCGGAUCGGGGUCUGCAACUCGACCCCGUGAAGCUGGAAUCGCUAGUAAUCG